rnacentral:rRNA from 1 species
CCUACGGGUGGCUGCAGUGAGGAAUAUUGGUCAAUGGGCGCGAGCCUGAACCAGCCAAGCCGCGUGAGGGCAGACGGUCCUAUGGAUUGUAAACCUCUUUUGUCGGGGAGCAAAAGACGCCACGCGUGGCGUUCUGAGAGUACCCGAAGAAAAAGCAUCGGCUAACUCCGUGCCAGCAGCCGCGGUAAUACGGGGGAUGCGAGCGUUAUCCGGAUUUAUUGGGUUUAAAGGGUGCGCAGGCGGAAAGUAAAGUCAGCGGUAAAAUUGCGGGGCUCAACCUCUUUGAGCAGUUGAAACUGGUUUUCUUGAGUGAGUGAGAGGUAUGCGGAAUGCGUGGUGUAGCGGUGAAAUGCAUAGAUAUCACGAAGAACUCCGAUUGCGAAGGCAGCAGACCGGCGCUCAACUGACGCUGAUGCACGAAAGUGUGGGUAUCGAACAGGAUUAGAUACCCGGGUAGUC